rnacentral:rRNA from 1 species
GAUGAACGCUGGCGGCGUGCCUAAUACAUGCAAGUCGAGCGAACAGACGAGGAGCUUGCUCCUCUGACGUUAGCGGCGGACGGGUGAGUAACACGUGGAUAACCUACCUAUAAGACUGGGAUAACUUCGGGAAACCGGAGCUAAUACCGGAUAAUAUAUUGAACCGCAUGGUUCAAUAGUGAAAGACGGUUUUGCUGUCACUUAUAGAUGGAUCCGCGCCGCAUUAGCUAGUUGGUAAGGUAACGGCUUACCAAGGCGACGAUGCGUAGCCGACCUGAGAGGGUGAUAGGCCGCACGAGAAGGGAGACAGGGACCAGACUCCUGAGGGAGGCAGCAGUAGGGAAUCUUCCGCAAUAGGCGGAAGCCUGACGGAACAACGCCGCGUGAGUGAUGAAGGUCUUCGGAUCGUAAAACUCUGUUAUUAGGGGAGAACAAAUGUGUAAGUAACUAUGCACAUCUUGACGGUACCUAAUCAGAAAGCCACGGCUAACUACGUG